CUCUCAUAUCCUCGUUUCUACCAGUGUGACAUCAUAAUGGCCACAGAUGGUCUUUUGGUAAAUGGAUAUCACUCAGGAAGACCUUACAACCAUUUCUCCUCUUCUAUCUGCACAGUGAGAUUUCUCCUGAUUUGGAGAAGAGCGAGAAAUGCCCAGCUCAGAACCUUGGAGACAGUGCCAGCGAUGGAAGAAGAGAAGUUGUCAGGAGAAAGUGAACAAAUGAGGGAUGUUCUGGAGUUCUUGCCUGCUGUGUGCCUAAGCACUACCCACCCCGUGUCUCUCUCUGUGGACCUGGUAUACUUGUAUCCAUGUGCCUUCCUUUCUUCCCCAUCUUCCUUUUUGCUCCUGUCUUCCCUGUUCCCUUCCUCCAUCUCCCUCCCUGCGCACCGUCCUUUCUCCUCCUCUCUUACUUUAUCCUCAAGAGUGUUAUUAGUUUUUAUGCAACAAAAUACUUCUCUUCCAUGUCCUUAAUGUUAUAUUAUUCUUCCACUCAUGUAAAUGAUUGUUUCAUGUUACUUGAGAUGAAAGAAAUAAAUAGGACUCUAUUACACUUA